rnacentral:rRNA from 1 species
AUUGAACGCUGGCGGCAUGCCUUACACAUGCAAGUCGAACGGCAGCACGGGAGCAAUCCUGGUGGCGAGUGGCGAACGGGUGAGUAAUAUAUCGGAACGUGCCCAGUCUGGGGAUAACGUAGCGAAAGCUACGCUAAUACCGCAUACGAUCUAUGGAUGAAAGCGGGGGAUCGCAGACCUCGCGCGAUUGGAGCGGCCGAUAUCAGAUUAGGUAGUUGGUGAGGUAAAGGCUCACCAAGCCGACGAUCUGUUAGCUGGUCUGAGAGGACGACCGAGCCACACUGGGACUGAGACACGGCCCAGACUCCUACGGUAGGCAGCAGUGGGGAA